UGGGUUGAAACAUCAGGCCAUCUCAGGUUACCCAGAGGUGGUGGAAGUGUCGGCCUAGCAGAUGAUGGUGAAGAACUGAGGGUGGAUGGAGGCGGUGGAGGUGUCAGCACAGACCUGAGGGUGGAUGGAGGUGGUGGAGGUGUCAGCACAGACCUCAGGGUGGAUGGAGGUGGUGGAGGUGUCAGCACAGACCUGAGGGUGGAUGGAGGUGGUGGAGGUGUCAGCACAGACCUGAGGGUGGAUGGAGGUGGUGGAGGUGUCAGCACAGACCUCAAGGUGGAUGGAGGUGGUGGAGGUGUCAGCACAGACCUGAGGGUGGAUGGAGGUGGUGGAGGUGUCAGCACAGACCUCAGGGUGGAUGGAGGUGGUGGAGGUGUCAGCACAGACCUGAGGGUGGAUGGAGGUGGUGGAGGUGUCAGCACAGACCUGAGGGUGGAUAGAGGUGGUGGAGGUGUCAGCACAGACCUCAGGGUGGAUGGAGGUGGUGGAGGUGUCAGCACAGACCUCAGGGUGGAUGGAGGUGGUGGAGGUGUCAGCACAGACCUGAGGGUGGAUGGAGGUGGUGGAGGUGUCAGCACAGACCUCAGGGUGGAUGGAGGUGGUGGAGGUGUCAGCACAGACCUCAGGGUGGAUGGAGGUGGUGGAGGUGUCAGCACAGACCUGAGGGUGGAUGGAGGUGGUGGAGGUGUCAGCACAGACCUCAGGGUGGAUGGAGGUGGUGGAGGUGUCAGCACAGACCUGAGGGUGGAUAGAGGUGGUGGAGGUGUCAGCACAGACCUCAGGGUGGAUGGAGGUGGUGGAGGUGUCAGCACAGACCUGAGGGUGGAUGGAGGUGGUGGAGGUGUCAGCACAGACCUCAGGGUGGAUGGAGGUGGUGGAGGUGUCAGCACAGACCUGAGGGUGGAUGGAGGUGGUGGAGGUGUCAGCACAGACCUCAGGGUGGAUGGAGGUGGUGGAGGUGUCAGCACAGACCUCAGGGUGGAUGGAGGUGGUGGAGGUGUCAGCACAGACCUGAGGGUGGAUAGAGGUGGUGGAGGUGUCAGCACAGACCUCAGGGUGGAUGGAGGUGGUGGAGGUGUCAGCACAGACCUCAGGGUGGAUGCACCAUACAAAAAUCAACACUGUAAAAAUCUCGUACAACAACAAAAAAAAUCUUAG
rnacentral:lncRNA from 1 species